AACAUCAGCCACUCCCUCCUUCUUUAACCCAGUGCUCAUUGGGUGCCUCUUCUGGGCCAGACACAGGGGCCCGAGUCUGUGGUCCUCUCCGGAAGCAGUGUGUCUGUCGGGGAGCCGAGAUGAGAGGAAGCAUGUGCCUAGCAUGGCCGGGGGCUCCCGGAGCCAUUACAAGCCCCCCAUCCACCGCCCUGCAGACGGGAGGUUGUCCCCGCUGUGCAGAUGAGCAAAUUGAGGGGGAAAAUUGGACCAUGUGAAUCUGAUGCUCGGGGGGGGGGGGAAAUCAACCCACAAAAAUUGUCAAGAUGGCUCUGCAAAGGACGAUCAUGAAGGAAGGUGACUGACCAGAUAUUAAAGCUGAUUCCAAAGCUACGGCAAAUAAAUGGUAUACUCCUGGCAUGAGGACAAAAUGAUCCGUAGGAGAGAAAGAGGUCAAAGGCUCUUCCCAAUGUACACUGGAACUUAAAACAUGACAAAGGGCUGAAAAGAGCUGGGACAGCUGACCAUCCAGUUAGAAACAAAGUUAAAUCCCUACCUCACACUGUACACAAGAAUAAUUUCCAAACGAGUUAAAGGCAAAGGAGUUUUGUUGUUGCUUUUUGAACUACAAGCAUAUGGAAAGUAAUAAAGAUAAAUAUCCUUAUAACCUCA